rnacentral:rRNA from 1 species
CCUACGGGCGGCAGCAGUGAGGAAUAUUGGUCAAUGGGCGGGAGCCUGAACCAGCCAAGCCGCGUGAGGGAAGAAGGUACAGCGUAUCGUAAACCUCUUUUGUCAGGGAACAAAGGCGGGACUAGUCCCCGGAUGAGGGUACCUGAAGAAAAAGCAUCGGCUAACUCCGUGCCAGCAGCCGCGGUAAUACGGAGGAUGCGAGCGUUAUCCGGAUUUAUUGGGUUUAAAGGGUGCGCAGGCGGCCUGUUAAGUCAGCGGGAAAAGCCCGGGGCUCAACCCCGGCGAGCCGUUGAAACUGGCGGGCUGGAGUUGGAGAGAAGUACGCGGAAGGCGAGGUGUAGCGGUGAAAUGCUUAGAGAUCGCGCAGAACCCCGAUUGCGAAGGCAGCGUACCGGCUCCACACUGACGCUGAGGCACGAAAGCGUGGGUAUCGAACAGGAUUAGAUACCCGGGUAGUC